AUCCCAGAUAAGAUUGAAUAUUUUUUCAAGUUCUUACACUGAUUCAUGGGAGGCCUAAAUUAAUGGUUGGAAGUUUCGCUGAUAAAUGCCUUUAAUUUAAAUUUACAUCAAGGUGUUUACUAGUAACUAUGCCACACAUUU